rnacentral:lncRNA from 1 species
CUGGAUCUGAUAGCAUUCUAUUUACAGCUAAAGUCAAUCUUUAUAAAAAAAAUCAGUGAAGGGUUUUUUUGGACCUUUUUAUAAUUUUAAUAAGUGGUUCAAUCCUCUUCCCUGAUUCUUCAAUUUGGUCCCAAGCAUUCAAAGCUGUAGUACAGAACAGACUCAAGGUAUGAUCACCAAAUGUAAUCAAAUUUGCAAAUCAACAUAAUGGCCCUCACCACAAGAGUUCCUGGUACCAACAGAGGCUGCAGGAGGCUCUGGAACCCAUGGGACUGGAGUGAGCCUCCAUGUAGGUGCUGGGAACUUAAACUGGGUUCUCUGCAGAGCUGCAAGUGCCCCAAACCACUGUGCCAUCUCUACAGCAUCUGGAUCAGGACAUUUAACACAUGUUGGAAAGCUGGGUGGUGGUAGUGCUUGCCUUCAAUCCCAGCACUCAGGAGGCAGCCACAGGUGGAUCUCUGUGAGUUUGAGGCCACAUGGUAGUGCCUUUAUUAGCAUGGCACGUUCAUCUCCUGCUCCCUCUGUGUCUGGCUGGGGACUCCUCACCCCUUGGCCCUUCUCCUUCCUGCCUUAUUUUAUCCUGUCCAGCUAUUGGCUAGGCAGCUUGUCCAUUAAACCAAUCACAGUGACAUAUAUUCACACAGUCUAAAGGAAUAUUCCACAGCAAAUCUGUUUCAGUGCAUGACACUGGAGUCUUCUUCAGAACAAAAUGAUCAGAAUGCUAGGUAACUUCCCUCUGCUAUCCAAAGAACUGAACUCAGGGCUUCCUGCAUGAAAGUUAAAGUUCCAGAUUCAGUCCUGGUUGAUGACACCAACGUAAAUUCCAUAUCCAACUACCAGAAAGUUUCAAAGCUCCACUGGCCAAGGCAUGAGACAGACAGCACUGGAAACUUUAAAAAAAAGUUGGUUCCAUGUGUCUGUAUUUUUCUCCCACACAAAGAUGCGUGGAGAUGACAUUUUAACAAUUGAAUGUUUAACUGUUACACAUUUCAAAUUCUCCUUUGUGUGCCCUUAAAGUCUUGCUCACACUGCCUUUGUAUGUGCCCUAAUCAUUUCACCCUUGGCACCCCUUGUCACCCCGGUCUUCCAGGGACUCCCAAUGACCUAGGUCUGGGCCCUGCAGUUCCGAUCACAGAGCAGCACAGGUGAAGACGCAGGUACCCUCGGUGCCUCUCACCCCAGGCUGACCACGAGCCCUUCGGCUGUGGCUGGACGACAUCUAGCAACCUUGCGUUUUCUCCUGCGUGCUUGUCCGUUGCAAAGCGGGAAUAAUUCGUACCUGUCCCCAAGCGCUGUGGGGGGAGCCAGGCGAUGAAUGGGAAAGUAUCGCAGCACGGAUCAGUUAAUUCACUCUUCGUUUAAGGGACCGUUAAGCUCGCUAUCUCGGCGCCACACGUGUCUCUCCGGCAGGUCGUGGCCUUGGGCAGGCACGCACGCUUAGGGUAGGAUCUCGCCUCUGGGCUGCUCUCCCACGGAACGCGGGGCGGUGCCCUUGUCAAACAUGGCGCCGGCGGUUUCGGAGGCGAGUGCGGCGGCGCGGACUCAGCGUGCCCUCUGACCUGUUGGCAGCGGGGGG